CAUGCCGUAAACGGUGGGCGCUAGGUGUAGGGGUCUUCCACGACUUCUGUGCCGUAGCUAACGCAUUAAGCGCCCCGCCUGGGGAGUACGGCCGCAAGGCUAAAACUCAAAGGAAUUGAC
rnacentral:rRNA from 1 species